rnacentral:rRNA from 1 species
GACAGAGGGUGCAAACGUUGUUCGGAAUUACUGGGCGUAAAGCGAGUGUAGGCGGUUUGGUAAGUCGGAUGUGAAAGCCCCGGGCUCAACCCGGGAAGUGCACUCGAUACUGCCGUGCUAGAGUCCCGGAGAGGGUGGUGGAACUCUCGGUGUAGAGGUGAAAUUCGUAGAUAUCGAGAAGAACACCGGUGGCGAAGGCGGCCACCUGGACGGCGACUGACGCUGAGACGCGAAAGCGUGGGGAGCAAACAGG